UAGUGUUUGAAAAGUUAUUAGGUUAUUAAAUUUGAGUGUAAUUACUCAUAAUUAUUGAUUAUUGUGAAAGCUCAAUUUCGUCCAAGCCUAAAUAAAAAAACCAAACAGAAAAAAAUAAGUAAAACAAAAUUAAUUAGAGUCCAGAGUCCACUUAUAACAGAUUACUGGCCCAAAAUUACAAGCCCAAACGACCCAAAAUUAAAAAAAAACCCUAACUGCCCAAAUGGCCCAAACACCUAAACUGUUUCAGACUAAACAAAAACCCUACCCUAGCUCGCAUCGCACCCUAGACUGCACCGCCACCGCUCCUAGCCUCUGCCACCAUCAACUGCUCUUCAACCACCACCUGCAAAAAACAACAAACAACACGCAAAUAACAGUAGCCAAGCAGGGAUAAAAAAAAAAGAAAAAGAAGAGAGAUUUUAAUCUAAAAACGACUAUAAAAGCCAAAUCUUUGUAAUGUUUUAGGGGGUCUUUUUUUCUGAAAUAGAAAUCGAAAUAAAAAAAAACACAAACAAAGCAAUCAAAAUACAAAAUCGAAAAAAAACUUCAAAAGUAAUCUUUUUUUAUUUUUCUUUUUUU
rnacentral:lncRNA from 1 species